GUAACGGGCCCUUCGGGGUGCUGACGAGUGGCGGACGGGUGAGUAAUGCUUAGGAAUCUGCCUAGUAGUGGGGGAUAACCCGGGGAAACCCGGGCUAAUACCGCAUACGCCCUACGGGGGAAAGCGGGGGACCUUCGGGCCUCGCGCUAAUAGAUGAGCCUAAGUCCGAUUAGCUAGUUGGUAGGGUAAUGGCCUACCAAGGCGACGAUCGGUAGCUGGUCCGAGAGGACGACCAGCCACACUGGGACUGAGACACGGCCCAGACUCCUACGGGAGGCAGCAGUGGGGAAUAUUGGACAAUGGGCGAAAGCCUGAUCCAGCGAUGCCGCGUGUGUGAAGAAGGCCUGCGGGUUGUAAAGCACUUUCAGUAGGGAAGAAAAGCCGAGUGCUAAUAUCACUCGGUCUUGACGUUACUUACAGAAGAAGCACCGGCUAACUCCGUGCCAGCAGCCGCGGUAAUACGGAGGGUGCGAGCGUUAAUCGGAAUUACUGGGCGUAAAGCGCGCGUAGGCGGUUUGGUAAGUCGGGUGUGAAAGCCCCGGGCUCAACCUGGGAAUUGCAUUCGAUACUGCCUGGCUAGAGUACGGUAGAGGGGGAUGG
rnacentral:rRNA from 1 species